rnacentral:rRNA from 1 species
AUUGAACGCUGGCGGCAGGCCUAACACAUGCAAGUCGAGCGGAUGAAGGGAGCUUGCUCCUGGAUUCAGCGGCGGACGGGUGAGUAAUGCCUAGGAAUCUGCCUGGUAGUGGGGGAUAACGUCCGGAAACGGGCGCUAAUACCGCAUACGUCCUGAGGGAGAAAGUGGGGGAUCUUCGGACCUCACGCUAUCAGAUGAGCCUAGGUCGGAUUAGCUAGUUGGUGGGGUAAAGGCCUACCAAGGCGACGAUCCGUAACUGGUCUGAGAGGAUGAUCAGUCACACUGGAACUUAGACACGGUCCCGACUCCUACGGGAGGCCGCCGUGGGGAAUAUUGGACAAAGGGCGAAAGCCUGAUCCAGCCAUGCCGCGUGUGUGAAGAAGGUCUUCGGAUUGUAAAGCACUUUAAGUUGGGAGGAAGGGCAGUAAGUUAAUACCUUGCUGUUUUGACGUUACCAACAGAAUAAGCACCGGCUAACUUCGUG